ensembl:ncRNA K02H8.3 ncRNA
GGGGCAAUUCAGUGAUAAACUGUUUGGCAACAACUUGCUCGUUUGUCCCGCUAACCAAAACAUCGUGACCGUACAAAUCAGCUAAUAAACGGUCUAAUCCGUUGCUCAAAUUCUGUGCGGCGCGCUUGCUCUUGGAGAAGAACG